UACGUAGGGGGCAAGCGUUGUCCGGAUUUAUUGGGCGUAAAGAGCGUGUAGGCGGCCUUACAGGUCAGCUGUGAAAACUCGAGGCUCAACCUCGAGACGUCGGUUGAAACCGUAUGGCUAGAGUCCGGAAGAGGAGAGUGGAAUUCCCGGUGUAGCGGUGAAAUGCGCAGAUAUCGGGAAGAACACCAGUGGCGAAGGCGGCUCACUGGCCCGGUACUGACGCUGAGGCACGAAAGCGUGGGGAGCAAACAGG
rnacentral:rRNA from 1 species